rnacentral:other from 2 species
CAAGUUUGAAAUCACCCCACUGGUUUCUGAACAAUGUUAUUUCCCUGAGUAAAGAAUUGCUGUGUGUAGUCUUUGCCCAUCCCCUGUGAUGGGCUUUUUUUUGU